GCCAGCAGCCAUAUCACCCUGCAACUCACAACUGGUAACCCACUGAAGCUAAGCAGGUGUGAGCCUGGUCAGUACCUGGAUGUAAGACCUCCUGGGAAAAACUAAGGUUGCUGCUGGAA
rnacentral:rRNA from 2 species